rnacentral:rRNA from 1 species
UGGUCAAGUUAUUAAGGGUGCAGGGCGGAUGCCUUGGCACUAGGAGCCGAUGAAGGACGUGAUAAGCUGCGAUAAGCUUCGGGGAGUUGCACGUAAACUUUGAUCCGAAGAUUUCCGAAUGAGGAAACUCACUUAGAGUAAUGUCUAAGUAUCAUUAAGUGAAUACAUAGCUUAAUGAGGGGAACUCAGGGAACUGAAACAUCUAAGUACCUGAAGGAAGAGAAAGAAAUUCGAUUCCGUAAGUAGCGGCGAGCGAACGCGGAUUAGCCCAAACCAAUAAAGUUUUCUUUAUUGGGGUUGCGGACAUAUCAUAACGAAGAGGUAUCGUAAUUGAAGAGGUUUGGAAAGACCCACCACAGAAGGUAAUAGUCCUGUAUGUUAAACGAGAAGACUUUAGAUAUGAUCCAGAGUACCACGGGACACGUGAAACCCUGUGGGAAGCAGGAGGGACCACCCUCCAAGGCUAAAUACUACCUAGUGACCGAUAGCGUAUAGUACCGUGAGGGAAAGGUGAAAAGAACCCCGGGAGGGGAGGGAAAUAGAACCUGAAACCCUGCACUUACAAGCUGUGGAAGCACAUUUCUUGUGUGACCGCGUACUUUUUGUAGAACGGGCCAACGGGUUACGUUAAGUAGCAAGGUUAAGCACUUAAGGGG